AUGAACGCUAGCUACAGGCUUAACACAUGCAAGUCGAGGGGAAACGACAUCGAAAGCUUGCUUUUGAUGGGCGUCGACCGGCGCACGGGUGAGUAACGCGUAUCCAACCUGCCCAUCACUUGGGGAUAACCUUGCGAAAGUAAGACUAAUACCCAAUGAUAUCUCUAGAAGACAUCUGAAAGAGAUUAAAGAUUUAUCGGUGAUGGAUGGGGAUGCGUCUGAUUAGCUUGUUGGCGGGGUAACGGCCCACCAAGGCAACGAUCAGUAGGGGUUCUGAGAGGAAGGUCCCCCACAUUGGAACUGAGACACGGUCCAAACUCCUACGGGAGGCAGCAGUGAGGAAUAUUGGUCAAUGGACGAGAGUCUGAACCAGCCAAGUAGCGUGCAGGAAGACGACCCUAUGGGUUGUAAACUGCUUUUAUAAGGGAAUAAAGUGAGUCUCGUGAGACUUUUUGCAUGUACCUUAUGAAUAAGGACCGGCUAAUUCCGUGCCAGCAGCCGCGGUAAUACGGAAGGUCCGGGCGUUAUCCGGAUUUAUUGGGUUUAAAGGGAGCGUAGGCCGGAGAUUAAGCGUGUUGUGAAAUGUAGGCGCUCAACGUCUGCACUGCAGCGCGAACUGGUUUCCUUGAGUACGCACAAAGUGGGCGGAAUUCGUGGUGUAGCGGUGAAAUGCUUAGAUAUCACGAAGAACUCCGAUUGCGAAGGCAGCUCACUGGAGCGCAACUGACGCUGAAGCUCGAAAGUGCGGGUAUCGAACAGGAUUAGAUACCCUGGUAGUCCGCACGGUAAACGAUGGAUGCCCGCUGUUGGUCUGAACAGGUCAGCGGCCAAGCGAAAGCAUUAAGCAUCCCACCUGGGGAGUACGCCGGCAACGGUGAAACUCAAAGGAAUUGACGGGGGCCCGCACAAGCAGCGGAGCAUGUGGUUUAAUUCGACGCAACGCGAAGAACCUUACCAGGUCUUGACAUCGUAUGCAUAGCUCAGAGAUGAGUGAAAUCUCUUCGGAGACAUAUAGACAGGUGGUGCAUGGUUGUCGUCAGCUCGUGCCGUGAGGUGUCGGCUUAAGUGCCAUAACGAGCGCAACCCCUCUCCUUAGUUGCCAUCAGGUUAAGCUGGGCACUCUGGGGACACUGCCACCGUAAGGUGUGAGGAAGGUGGGGAUGACGUCAAAUCAGCACGGCCCUUACGUCCGGGGCUACACACGUGUUACAAUGGCAGGUACAGAGAGACGGUUGUACGUAAGUACGAUCAAAUCCUUAAAGCCUGUCUCAGUUCGGACUGGGGUCUGCAACCCGACCCCACGAAACUGGAUUCGCUAGUAAUCGCGCAUCAGCCAUGGCGCGGUGAAUACGUUCCCGGGCCUUGUACACACCGCCCGUCAAGCCAUGAAAGCCGGGGGCGCCUAAAGUCCGUGACCGUAAGGAGCGGCCUAGGGCGAAACUGGUAAUUGGGGCU
rnacentral:rRNA from 1 species